UACGUAGGGUGCAAGCGUUGUCCGGAAUUAUUGGGCGUAAAGGGCUCGUAGGCGGUCCGGUCAGUCGGUUGUGAAAGUCAAGGGCUCAACCCUUGAAUGCCGGCCGAUACUGCCGGGCUAGAGUCCGGAAGAGGUGAGUGGAACUCCUGGUGUAGCGGUGAAAUGCGCAGAUAUCAGGAAGAACACCAAUGGCGAAGGCAGCUCACUGGGACGGUACUGACGCUGAGACGCGAAAGCGUGGGGAGCAAACAGG
rnacentral:rRNA from 1 species